GACGAACGCUGGCGGCGUGCUUAACACAUGCAAGUCGAACGAAGUGGCGAACGGGUGAGUAACGCGUCAUCAACCUGCCCUUCAGAGGGGGAUAACAGGUGGAAACGACUGCUAAUACCGCAUACUGAAGGAGGGGAUUGCGUCUGAUCAGCUAGUUGGGGGGGUAACGGCCCACCAAGGCGAUGAGCAGCAGCCGGUCUGGGAGGAUGAACGGCCAGAUUGGGACUGGGACACGGCCCAGAGUCCUACGGGAGGCAGCAGUGGGGAAUCGUCCGCAAUGGACGAAAGUCUGACGGAGCAACGCCGGGUGAGUGAUGACGGCCUUCGGGUUGUAAAGCUCUGUUCGUCGGGACGCGGUACCGGAAUAGAAAGCCACGGCUAACUACGUGCCAGCCGCCGCGGUAAUUC
rnacentral:rRNA from 1 species